UGUCAUGGACAAGAAAUAUGAAAGAUCCAAUACUUCGAGUUGUACGCUUAGAAAAUCGAAUGAAUGCUCUUGCAUUAUAUUUUAUCUUCAUUUUUCAAACUCAGGCAGUUCUUAUGUGUAAAUGCUUCAACAUUUUUUUUUUUUUUUUUUUUUUUUUUACAGGUUCCCCUUAUCACAGAGCACUGUGUUCAGUUCAGGACUGGCCCAGAACAGCUGUAGUUGCUGGUUAAGUCUCUUCCUGGGUUUGGAGCUGUGUUUUCUGUUUCUACAUUCAUUUCUAAAGGAAAUUGUUUAAUUACUAUAGCGUAGAAAAAUGAAAUACUGCUAUGGAGUUCCUCCUGUUUCUGGAAUUCUGAAAGAGUUUCAGGACCAGACUGCUCAGUUCAUAAUGCACUCCUUAUGCUUUGAUCUCGCCUUACAAAUCUAAAGCAAGCUGUUAGAGGAAUCUGUUUCAUGUGUCUAUGUGGAAGCAUACAGAGAGGCAGGAAGAAAAAGGUUAAAGAAGAACAUGAGAGGACACUUCAGAAUUUCUCCAACGAUCAUGGACUGAACCAAAAGGGUUACAAUAACAGUCUGCAGAAACAAGACAACACACACACACACUGGAUUCAGGUCUACAUAAGGUGAUAAUUCAUUUAAUACCAAUAAAGGCUGCAUUUCCAGUGUUAAAGGUAAAGGAAGACUGUCUAUUAAUGAUAUCUGAAGUAGUGAAUAUAAUCACUAUAGUCCAUUUAUUUGUUUGCAUAUAUCAUUUCAGGAAGAGACGUUUUAUGAUAUGAAGAGAUAAAGUAAACACAAAAGAUGUGAAGGCGGAAGAUACCGUGCUCUUUGAGAAUAAGUGAUUGUACCAGAUUCUCUUCUGGUAAGAAUGUUUUUGACAAUUUAGUGAAUGUUAGGAAAGCUUUGUAUAUCAAUACAUCAUUAGGGUGAAAUGUCUCACAUCAUUAAAAUAGGCUUAUUUAUAUUACUCAAUAUUUUUCUGAGUGCUGAAUUGCUUUAGAGGGCUAUAUAAAUGCACUUUACUUAUUUCCAAGAUAGUCUUCCUUUAUAGUGAGGAGAAGUAUAACCAUUUAUGUGGAUAUUUGCCAUUAAACUGAUGAGAUUGUAUUUAGCAGUGACAUUAAUAAACCUUUUACAUAUUCCACAAUGAUAAACUUGAGGUGAGCAGUAAUGCAAAACUUAUCAGAACUCGCUUGUUGCCAUUUUCAUUUCUCUCACCUCCCAGUGGGGGGAUGGAAGAUGUAAUGAGGCUCUUUCCCUGAUACUUAUUUCCACAUGUGUGUUGACCUAAUUAAAGAAUGAUUUCCUCCCAGAACAGGUAAAGAAUGAUUUCCUCCCAGAACAGGUACUGUAAGGGAACGUGUUGUCUUCUUCAAUUACAACACUUUUCUUUAACAUGAUUAUAAUAUUCAUGUUCAGUUUUGGAUAACUAAACAAAGAAGACAAGACAGUAGCAAGCAGAGUUUAAUUUCUGACAUUCCUAUUCAUUUUUUUAAUUUAAGUAGCCAUAUCUUGUUUGUAUAUAGACCCAUGUAGACCCAGAGUAACUCCACUGUCAACUGAGACUGCAGACAUGCUUACAUUUUGGCAGCGUCUGAUCUCUGCUGUUGUUGAAGGCAAAAGAUAAAUAAACCAAUUCCUGAUCUGGGCAACCUGCUGAGAAUCUGGCUUUGUGUGUCUGUGAAUUGGUGCGGCUUUGACUACCUUUGGAAAUUGUUCCGUAGCAUCAGGUUAAGCAUGAGGUUAAAAUUCAGUGAUAUUGUAAAUGACAAAAUGUAGUUGAACUUGGAAGUAAAAUA